AGUGAACGCUGGCGGCGUGCUUAACACAUGCAAGUCGAACGAGAACGGAUUAUAGCUUGCUAUAAUUGUCAGCUAAGUGGCGCACGGGUGAGUAAUGUAUAGGUAAUAUGCCUCUUACUAAGGGAUAACAAUUGGAAACGUUUGCUAAUACCUUAUACUCCUUAUUAACAUAAGUUAAUAAGGGAAAGAUUUAUUGGUAAGAGAUUAGCCUGUAUUGUAUCAGUUAGUUGGUGGGGUAAUGGCUUACCAAGACUAUGACACAUAACUGGUUUGAGAGGAUGAUCAGUCACACUGGAACUGUGACACGGUCCAGACUCCUACGGGAGGCAGCAGUGGGGAAUAUUGCACAAUGGACGAAAGUCUGAUGCAGCAACGCCGCGUGGAGGAUGACACAUUUCGGUGCGUAAACUCCUUUUAUAUGAGAAGAUAAUGACGGUAUUAUAUGAAUAAGCACCGGCUAACUCCGUGCCAGCCGCCGCAGUAA
rnacentral:rRNA from 1 species